rnacentral:rRNA from 1 species
AGAGUUUGAUCAUGGCUCAGAACGAACGCUGGCGGCGUGCCUAACACAUGCAAGUCGAACGAGAAAGGGGCUUCGGCUCCGAGUAAAGUGGCGCACGGGUGAGUAACACGUGGGUAACCUGCCUCUAAGAUUGGGAUAACUCGUCGAAAGAUGAGCUAAUACCGGAUAAGACCACAGUUCCUGCGGGAACAGCGGUCAAAGGUAGCCUCUGCUUGCAAGCUAUCACUUAGAGAUGGGCCUGCGCACCAUUAGCUAGUUGGUAGGGUAACGGCCUACCAAGGCAAAGAUGGUUAGCUGGUCUGAGAGGAUGAUCAGCCACACUGGAACUGAGACACGGUCCAGACUCCUACGGGAGGCAGCAGUGGGGAAUAUUGCGCAAUGGGCGAAAGCCUGACGCAGCAACGCCGCGUGAGUGAUGAAGGCCUUCGGGUCGUAAAGCUCUGUCGGGAGGAACGAAUGCUCCUGAGGUUAACAGCCUCGGGAGGUGACGGUACCUUCAAGGAAGCACCGGCUAACUCUGUGCCAGCAGCCGCGGUA